GCGAUAGAUAUAUAAACACAUAUUAUGAAAGCAAGCAGAGAGUGUGACAUAACAUUUGACGUUUACAAGACCUAGAAAUCCCAUUUUCUCUAUGUUUCUUUUAUACAUAAAUCAUGAAGCUGGAUCUCUAGGACAAUUUAAGCAUCAAUUUUCAUUACUGAGCAUGGCAUGCAGUGCCAGGUACUUCAAAAAACUGUCCUAGAGACACUGAAUGGAUUUCCAUGAUUCUGAUUUGCUUUACCAUAUCGAAUGCUUUAAGCCAAGGCCAUUGCAAGUUAAUAUAAGGCCCUUGUAACGGUUAAGAUAAUCCUGCGACAAACAAAAAUGAAAAAGUCAAACAGAAUGAAUCAUUCAUGUAAAAAUAAAACAUUCUAUUGGAACACAUUUCUUGUUAGAUGGAGUCAAAUGCUCCUUACAAUGAUAUUGUAAUCAUAUAUGUAACGCAUCCCGUUUAUGUCGUACUCCCUCCUUUUGUCUGGAUCACUCAAAACUGCCAAAUAAAGCCAAAGACAUGUCGGUUAGAUUAUACUAACCUGACAGGGGCAAAUAAUAAAGAAUAGAAAAUCAGCAUGACAAUCAAAUAACACUAAAUUAAAAUUUCAAACAACACAAAUCAGGAGGAUUCUAGACUAUAACUGCAAUAUCAUAUUUAUUGAACCACUAAUCUAAACCCUUCCAGCUGCCAUCUCGACCACAACCCCUCUUCUCAAAGCUUGGAAAGGAAAGUCUUCACUGUCAGUCACAUGCUUAAUAGACUAUAAACAUUUACUAGGUAAGAGGGAAUAUGGCUGGUUGUAAA
rnacentral:lncRNA from 1 species